GAGGCAAAUACUACAUUUUGGCGACGGGCUGAAUCGGAAGCCAACAAUGACAACACCAUCGCUGGCGCUUGAAAAGUUUGACUGCGAGGGUGAUAUCAAUUCUGUAUGUACACGAUGGGAACGUUGGAAGAGGAGUUUGUACAUUUACCUGGAAGCGGCAGGUGUUAAGACUGCUGCUAAAAAACGAGCAAGUUUGCUACAUUGGGGGGGAACUGAACUACAGGAAAUAUUUUUUAAUAUACCAGGGGCAGAUAUAACAUCAGAGGAGUCCGGGGAGCAGGAUGUAUUCCAGGUGGCAAUUGAAAAAUUGGACAGUUAUUUUGCACCUAAGCAAAAUAAAAGAUUUGAACGGCAUACCUUCAGACAAAUUAAGCAAGAAAAUAAUGAAAAAUUUGAAAAGUUUUUGGUGCGCCUUAGACAACAAGC